rnacentral:rRNA from 1 species
AUUGAACGCUGGCGGCAUGCUUUACACAUGCAAGUCGAACGGCAGCACGGGGCAACCUGGUGGCGAGUGGCGAACGGGUGAGUAAUACAUCGGAACGUGCCCAAUCGUGGGGGAUAACGUAGCGAAAGUUACGCUAAUACCGCAUACGAUCUACGGAUGAAAGCGGGGGAUCGCAAGACCUCGCGCGAAUGGAGCGGCCGAUGUCAGAUUAGGUAGUUGGUGGGGUAAAGGCUCACCAAGCCAACGAUCUGUAGCUGGUCUGAGAGGACGACCAGCCACACUGGAACUGAGACACGGCCCAGACUCCUACGGGGGCAGCAGUGGGGGAUCUUGCACAAUGGGCGAAGGCCUGAUGCAGCGACGCCGCGUGAGCGAAGAAGGCCUUCGGGUUGUAAAGCUCUGUCUGGAGGGACGAAACAAAUAGACGGUACCUCCGGAGGAAGCCACGGCUAACUACGUG